rnacentral:rRNA from 1 species
CCUACGGGGGGCAGCAGUGGGGGAUAUUGCACAAUGGGGGAAACCCUGAUGCAGCGACGCCGCGUGGGUGAAGAAGCGCCUCGGCGCGUAAAGCCCUGUCAGCAGGGAAGAAAAUGACGGUACCUGAAGAAGAAGCCCCGGCUAACUACGUGCCAGCAGCCGCGGUAAUACGUAGGGGGCAAGCGUUAUCCGGAUUGACUGGGUGUAAAGGGGGCGCAGACGGGGAUGCAAGCCAGGAGUGAAAGCCCGGGGCCCAACCCCGGGACUGCUCGUGGAACUGCGUGGCUAGAGUGCAGGAGGGGCAGGCGGAAUUCCUGGUGUAGCGGUGAAAUGCGUAGAUAUCAGGAGGAACACUGGUGGCGAAGGCGGCCUGCUGGACUGCAACUGACGUUGAGGCCCGAAAGCGUGGGGAGCAAACAGGAUUAGAUACCCGUGUAGUC